rnacentral:rRNA from 1 species
GAUUUGACGAAAGAUUAACUGUCUUAGCUUAUUAUUAAAAAAUUAACUUAGAAGUUAAAAGGCUUCUAUUUACUAAAGGGACGAUAAGACCCUAUAAAGCUUUAUUUAAAAAUUUCUAUUUUUGUUAAGAAAAAAAUACAAAUCAUAAAUUUUAUUGGGGAGAUAGAUAAACAAACAUUAUCAAUUACAACGUUCUUAACGAAACUUAUAAAACGUUUUUAAAAACCUUAUAACAAGUUACUUUAGGGAUAACAGCAUAAUUUCUUUUUAGAGUUCCUAUCGACAAAGAAGAUUAUGACCUCGAUGUUGAAUUGAGUUGCUCCUUUUAAGCAGAUUUAAAAGGCAGGA